UACGGGGGGGGCAAGCGUUGUUCGGAAUUACUGGGCGUAAAGGGCUCGUAGGCGGCCAACUAAGUCAUACGUGAAAUCCCUCGGCUUAACCGGGGAACUGCGUCUGAUACUGGAUGGCUUGAGAUUGGGAGAGGGAUGCGGAAUUCCAGGUGUAGCGGUGAAAUGCGUAGAUAUCGGAAGGAACAUCAGUGGCGAAGGCGACUUCCUGGACAGAUACUGACACUGAGGCACGAAAGCGUGGGGAGCAAACAGG
rnacentral:rRNA from 1 species